CUUAACUGUUAUAUAUGGGAUCAUAUAUAUAAUAAUAUAUAUAUUCCAUCCCGGGACGUUCUAUAUAGUUAUGCAUUUUAAUAUAUUUUAUAUAUUAUAUAUGCCUCUAACUAGAGCGUACCUUGAGCAUAUAUGUUGUGACCCGAAAGAUGGUGAACUAUACCUGAUCAGGUUGAAGUCAGGGGAAACCCUGAUGGAAGACCGAAACAGUUCUGACGUGCAAAUCGAUUGUCAGAAUUGGGUAUAGGGGCGAAAGACCAAUCGAACCAUCUAGUAGCUGGUUCCCUCCGAAGUUUCCCUCAGGAUAGCUGGUGCAUUUAAAUUUUAUAUAAAAUAAUCUUAUCUGGUAAAGCGAAUGAUUAGAGGCCUUAGGGCCGAAACGACCUUAACCUAUUCUCAAACUUUAAAUGGGUAAGAACCUCACCUUUCUUGAUAUGAAGGUUGAGGUUAUGAUAUAUUGUGCCCAGUGGGCCACUUUUGGUAAGCAGAACUGGCGCUGUGGGAUGAACCAAACGUGAUGUUAAGGCGCCCAAAUUAACAACUCAUACUGAUACCAUGAAAGGCGUUGCUUGCUUAAAACAGCAGGACGGUGGACAUGGAAGUCGUAAUCCGCUAAGGAGUGUGUAACAACUCACCUGCCGAAGCAACUAGCCCUUAAAAUGGAUGGCGCUCAAGUUGUAUGCCUAUACAUCACCGCUAAAAUAUAUGAUUUAUUUAUUUAUAUAUAUAAAUUUUGAAAUUUUAGUGAGUAGGAGGGUACAAUGGUGUGCGUAGAAGUAUUUGGCGUAAGCCUGUAUGGAGCCGCUAUUGGUACAGAUCUUGGUGGUAGUAGCAAAUAAUCGAAUGAGACCUUGGAGGACUGAAGUGGAGAAGGGUUUCGUGUGAACAGUGGUUGAUCACGAGUUAGUCGGUCCUAAGUUCAAGGCGAAAGCCGAAAAUUUUAAGUUUUAUUUAUAUAUAAAAUAUUAAUAUACUUAUUAUUUUUAUGAACGAAAGGGAAUACGGUUCCAAUUCCGUAACCUGUUGAGUAUACGUUUGUUAUUAAAAAUGGGCUUUUAUGCUCAUCCUGGUAACAGAAACAACCAUAAAGAAGCCGUCGAGAAAUAUCGAAAGAGUUUUCUUUUCUGUUUCAUAGUCGUACUACCAUGGAAGUCUUUCGAAGAGAGAUAUGGUAGAUGGGCUAGAAGAGCAUGGCAUUUACUGCUGUGUCGAUAUUUUCUCCUCGGACCUUGAAAAUUUAUGGUGGGGUCACGCAAA
rnacentral:rRNA from 1 species